rnacentral:rRNA from 1 species
AUUGUUGCUGUUGAACGCUCGUAGUUGGAUAUCUGCCUUGCAGCAGGACCCCUGCCAUGUAUUUACAGGCGUGGGUCUGGUCUCCGACCAGCUUGCAAGUCAUCAUUCAGGGCAGCCAGUCUACUCAUUAAGUUGACCGGGUUGGAUUUGCUCUGAUCUUUUACUUUGAGAAAAUUAGAGCGCUCAAAGCAGACAAACGUCUGAAUGCACCAGCAUGGAAUAAUAAAACACGACUUUGGCUACUUUUUACAAAGUGUUUUGUUGGUUCGGGCCGAAGUAAUGAUUGAUAGGAACAAUUGGGGGUGCUGGUAUCGACGGGCUAGAGGUAAAAUUCAAUGACCCCGUCGAGACCAACUUAUGCGAAAGCAUUCACCAAGCGUGUUUCCUUUAAUCAAGAACUAAAGUGGGGGUAGCGAAGACGAUUAGAUACCGUUGUAGUCCCCACCAUAAACGAUGUCAACUAAGCAUUGGGGAAGUCUCAACUUCCUCAGAGCUUGCGAGAAAUCAAAGUCUUUGGACUCAGGGGGAAGUAUGCUCGCAAGUGUGAAACUUAAAGGAAUUGACGGAAGGGCACCACAAGAUGUGGAGCGUGCGGCUUAAUUUAAUUCAACACAGCAAAACUUACCAGGUCCAGACAUAGCAACGAUUGACAGAUUGAAGUUCUUUCUUGAUUCUAUGGCUAGUGGUGCAUGGUCGUUCUUAGUUGGUGGAGUGAUUUGUCUGGUUGAUUCCGAUAACGAACGAGACCUCAGCCAGUUAACUAGUUGUCGUUAUGCUUAUCGGCUCUUUUGUCUUUAAAAAUAGCGGAUCUUUUCUCGGAAAGAUAGCAACUUCUUAGCGGGACAAUCUGUGUACAGCA